rnacentral:tRNA from 1 species
CAGGGAGACAAAAACCGAUUUUGAUGCCUGAAGAUUUAGCUUUUAGGCCAGAAUCCUGUCACCUUAGGUCGAUCGGUACCUCUGAAUCAAUUUAUUUAAUUCUGUUGAUUUUUAGUUCCUAAACUUGUCUAGGUCACACCCAACAAGGGUUCUCCUGGGCCAUUAGCUCAGGUGGUUAGAGCGCACCCCUGAUAAGGGUGAGGUCCCUGGUUCAAGUCCAGGAUGGCCCAUUCGGUGUUGGGGGUAUAGCUCAGUUGGUAGAGCGCCUGCUUUGCAAGCAGGAUGUCAGCGGUUCGAGUCCGCUUACCUCCACUGAUCAACUACCUUUACCCAAUGGAAAGGAGAUUAUCUUUGUUUGAUGUGAUUUGGAUUUGUCUAUCUGAAUCAGAACCUAGCUUCCUAUCAUUUUUUAGUUUAAAUAAAAAUUUUGAUAAGACGCUGGGCUCACUGAAAUUUAAUGAAUUUCAGAGAUCUUCAGUAGAACCUUGACAACUGCAUAGGUAAGUCUGGAAGGAAUAAAGCAUCUCAUGGAUGCAUUAUUCCUUAAUUUAAAUUUUGAAUAGGUAGAAAAUCUAUUCAAAAUAAGUUAUUGGAAUAAUGCUUAAUUCUUGAGUAAGAGCAAAAUAAUCCACAUUCAACUUAGUUAUUUUAACUGGGAUUGUGGAUAUUAAU